GUUUGAUUUUAGAGUUUGAACAUGGCUCAGGACGAACGCUGGCGGCGUGCCUAAUACAUGCAAGUCGAGCGGACAGAAGGGAGCUUGCUCCCGGAUGUUAGCGGCGGACGGGUGAGUAACACGUGGGUAACCUGCCUGUAAGACUGGGAUAACUCCGGGAAACCGGAGCUAAUACCGGAUAGUUCCUUGAACCGCAUGGUUCAAGGAUGAAAGACGGUUUCGGCUGUCACUUACAGAUGGACCCGCGGCGCAUUAGCUAGUUGGUGGGGUAAUGGCUCACCAAGGCGACGAUGCGUAGCCGACCUGAGAGGGUGAUCGGCCACACUGGGACUGAGACACGGCCCAGACUCCUACGGGAGGCAGCAGUAGGGAAUCUUCCGCAAUGGACGAAAGUCUGACGGAGCAACGCCGCGUGAGUGAUGAAGGUUUUCGGAUCGUAAAGCUCUGUUGUUAGGGAAGAACAAGUGCGAGAGUAACUGCUCGCACCUUGACGGUACCUAACCAGAAAGCCACGGCUAACUACGUGCCAGCAGCCGCGGUAAUACGUAGGUGGCAAGCGUUGUCCGGAAUUAUUGGGCGUAAAGGGCUCGCAGGCGGUUUCUUAAGUCUGAUGUGAAAGCCCCCGGCUCAACCGGGGAGGGUCAUUGGAAACUGGGAAACUUGAGUGCAGAAGAGGAGAGUGGAAUUCCACGUGUAGCGGUGAAAUGCGUAGAGAUGUGGAGGAACACCAGUGGCGAAGGCGACUCUCUGGUCUGUAACUGACGCUGAGGAGCGAAAAAGGCGC
rnacentral:rRNA from 1 species